CACCGUAGGGGCGAGGCGUUGGUCCGGAAUUACUGGGCGUAAAGGGCGCGCAGGCUGUUAUGCGAGUCUGCUGUGAAAUGUACCGGCUCAACCGGUGCCUUGCGGCGGAUACUGCAUAGCUGGAGUACUGGAGAGGGAAGUGGAAUUCCCGGUGUAGCGGUGAAAUGCGUAGAGAUCGGGAGGAUCACCAGUGGCGAAGGCGGGUAACUGGACUGCAACUGACGCUGAGGCGCGAAGGUGUGGGGAGCAAACAGGAUUAGA
rnacentral:rRNA from 1 species